CCUACGGGUGGCAGCAGUGGGGAAUCUUGCGCAAUGGGCGAAAGCCUGACGCAGCGACGCCGCGUGCGGGAUGAAGGCCUUCGGAUUGUAAACCUCUGUUAGCAGGGAAGAACGGUCACUGUGCUAAUCAGCAGUGAAUUGACGGUACCUGCAAAGGAAGCACCGGCUAACUCCGUGACAGCAGCCGCGGUAAUACGGAGGGUGCGAGCGUUAAUCGGAAUUACUGGGCGUAAAGCUCUCGUAGGCGGUAUGUCAAGACAAGGGUGAAAACUCCGCGCUAAACGUGGGAACUGCCUUUGAAACUGGCAAACUGGAGUGUGUGAGGGGAAAGUGGAAUUCCAGGUGUAGGAGGGAAAUCCGUAGAUAUCUGGAGGAACAUCAGUGGCGAAGGCGACUAUCUGGCACAUAACUGACGCUGAGGAGCGAAAGCGUGGGUAGCAAACAGGAUUAGAUACCCUUGUAGUC
rnacentral:rRNA from 1 species